rnacentral:rRNA from 1 species
UACGUAGGGUGCAAGCGUUACUCGGAAUUACUGGGCGUAAAGCGUUCGUAGGCGGUCUGUUAAGUCCGUUGUGAAAGCCCUGGGCUCAACCUGGGAAUUGCAGUGGAUACUGGCAGGCUAGAGUACGGUAGAGGAUGGUGGAAUUCCCGGUGUAGCGGUGAAAUGCGUAGAGAUCGGGAGGAACACCCGUGGCGAAGGCGGCCAUCUGGACCAGUACUGACGCUGAGGCACGAAAGCGUGGGGAGCAAACAGG